rnacentral:lncRNA from 1 species
UAGGAGAGAAGGGUCAGGAGAGAGGGGUCACAGAAGCCAGGAAGAACUAGGGUUUCAGGAGAGGAUGAAUAUUCAACAGUUGCAACUGCCAUAGAGAUGAAGCAAGAUAAGCACAACAAAUGUGUCAUUGGGCCUGGUAAUAUUGAGGGCAAUGAAGUUAUUAGUGAAAGUAGAUGCAGUGAAGUGUUGGAAUCAGAAGCCAGAAUGGAGUUGGGGGAAGAAUAAAUAGGAUGUAAGGAAAUAGAAACAGUAACUGUGAAGUCUUCUUUCAAGAAGUUUUAAGACUUUUACCUAACAAGGAAGCAAUAAAUGGUAGCUAGAGGAGGGUGUAUAUUCAAGAAUGACAUUGUUUUAAGAUGAGAAAGGUUUGAGCUCUAGUGACUGAAUUGUUCCAGGAUAAAGUAAAAUAAACAAGAGAAUAAUUUUAAAAAUCAAAUAGAGUAAUAACAACUAAGUCACCGAAAAGAUGGGCCAUGGAGUCUAAACUACAUAGAGAAGAAGGUAAAGGUCAGAUUGGCGAUAGAAAUUGUUCAGAAGAAGCAUAAAGGGAAGAGAGUAAAAGGAAUAAGAGAAAAGCAUAGCAGAUUUGAAUCAGACACUGAGAUGUUUAUGUUUAAGUUUCUACAGUGAAUCUGAGUAAGGAACUAAAGAAGAGUGAUGUAUUAACCAAACAUGUUUUUGGUACAAGUCAGCUCAAUGAUAGGUGUGAGAAAUAUCUAGAACAUAAUCUUGGAAAUAUGCUUCUGAAAUGCAGCAGAGGUGAAAGAAGCUGGGACUAAGAAGAGCAAGGAACUGAAGGGCUACCAGUUGGACUACUCAGCAAGGAAGAACAGAUAAGCAGAAGGAUGAGCAAACACGGAAGAGGAGAGGAGGAAGAGGGAAGACUGAGACAAUGUGCAGCAAGGCAGAGGAAGCAAAGAGGAAAAGGAUGCAAUUCUUCUGAAGUGAGUGGCCAAAGGACCUGUUCCAGAAUAUGGAUGCCCAACAUUUAAUUUGAGGUUUUUGUUUUUGUUGGCAUUUUGAGAUGUAAGCCUCAUCUCCAUUUCUUCUUCCCUUCUUUCCAAAACCCAACACAACUUCUUUAACGUAACCUACUCUCACAAAGGCAUGUGUUUGUGUACCUCUUACUGCUGUUUUCAUUUUUGCUAUUCUGCAUUUGUGUGUGUGUUUGCAAUUCAGGGAAGGGCUAAUUUUCUGUAAUUGAGUAAACUGGGUUUGGGGUAAAUGUUAUAUACAAGUAAUCUGGGAUGGAGGGUGCAAACAUCAAGGCAGGAAUGUAAUUUGUUAGGAUUUUGCAUCAAUUUGGAGGAGAAAUUGAAUUUCCAUGAACCAUACAUUUGGAGACUGGAUCCAAAAUUAAGUAGGUCUUAAAGAGAGUACUGGAUGUAGUUCCUGCCCUCAUGAAACUAGUGGAGAGAUGACAAAUGAAAAUCAAUGUGGCCAAGAUACUUGCGGCUCAGUGAAUAUCCACGUAUUCCUGCUUAUUUCCAACCUCUCUUGUAAUUUGGUAUGGCUGUAUGGCCAAUUCUAGAAAAUAGUCUAUGAAAGAACAUUUCAGUUAACAUUUUCUGACCAAAGCAUAUAAAAGUCAGUGUGAAAAUCUGUAGCUCUCUUCGCCAUGAAAGCCACAUGUUAUGGAGAGUGUGGCUACCAUGUCCAAGGUGUCUGAGUCCCUGAGCUAUCAUGUGAAAACAGUUGCCAAGGUAUCUGAGUCCCUGAGCAGUCAUGUAAAAACAGUUGCCCUAAAGAGUCACCAAGUCCACAGACGACUUAGCAUAAUGGAGAAAUAUAAUACCAUGUGUUACUUCACCACAAUUUCAGGAGGAGCUUAGCUUAAUACUAUGAUUAAGGGCAAUACAGUGUUAUGGACACUAAGAUACAAAUAUGGAUGGGGUAUUUUGGAAGGCAAAGGAGGGGAAUUAAAUUUUAUUGGUGGAAAGCAAUGUCAGAAAAAAGCAUCUUGCAAUUUAACUUUUAAGGAAGCAACAAAGUAAACAUCAGAGAGUAAUGAACAGAAAAUUGGAUUAAAAAGAGAAAAAUACCUAAUGCAUGCGGGGUUUAAAACCUAGAUGACGGGUUGAUAGGUACAGCAAACCACCAUG